rnacentral:rRNA from 1 species
CACGAAGCAAGUUGAGCUAAUUUAAUACAUUUAUUAGGGGGCGCAGUAUGUUGCAUAAUACUAAAGUGAUCAUAAAUUAGGAGUGAUAUUCUUUUCAAAUUUUGCGAUAUCUUGAUGCGACCGACAAGUAUAUAGUACGAUUCCAAUCAAUAAGCGCUUAGGUUUAUUGAAAAUAUCAACAAUUAUUAAACAGACUUGUUAGAUAUAAUAAUUAACUACUUCAUUUUAAUAAUACUAUUGUAUAUCACUUAUAGAUAAUAGGACGCUACAAUAAUUACACUACAGUUACUUAAUGUUAUUAUAAGUAAUAAAUAGAUAUUCAUAAUGAACUUGGCAAUUCAUCUUUCAACUGUUUAUCAAAAACAUAGUUAUCAGAAGUUAUUGAUAAUUUGUUCUGCUCAAUGAAUAAUUAAAUAGCCGCAGUACCCUGACUGUGCAAAGGUAGCAUAAUCAUUUGGCUUAUAAUUGAAGUCUUGUAUGAAUGAAACGAUGGGGGAUAACUGUAUCAUAAAUAUUAUAUAAAAUUACCUGAAAAGUGCAAAUGCUUUUUGUAUAAAUAAUAGACGAGAAGACCCUUGAAAUUUUAAGAAGAGUGUCAAUAAGGAUUUUUGUUGGGGCAACAGUGUAACAAGAAACUUACAUUUUAAACAUGAAACGGAAUAGGUUGAUUAAAUUACUCUAGGGAUAACAGCGUAAUAUUGAAAUGUUUGCGACCUCGAUGUUGGAUUAGGAAACAAAAGCUUAG